rnacentral:lncRNA from 1 species
AGAAGAAUACCAACAUAUAUAAACUCUGGUUACAAAUAUGGAACCCUUCAUUUACAGAUAUAAAAUUGAAAGCCAUUAUUUUACACUUGUGACUUAUGUACAUCUAUUUUACAAUUAUUUGUGAUCGCAUAUAUCUAUAGAACACAUCUAGUUAGUAAUUACAACUUACAAACAAAAACGUCAUGGCACUAUUGAAGCAUCAUCGGGAUCUUGAUCAGCUUUGCCAUCGUGUUUUUUGCUUGCGAACGGGGAACCAAACAGUAGUUGAAAGACCGAUCUGACUUUGUUCGCACGUCGGCGUUGGCGUAUGCGCCGUAGAAUCACUUCCUUGUCAAGUGUUUGCGUCGUAUGAAUACGUUUGAUGCGUAUUUGAGUGGACACAAACUCUGGUGUUUCACUACUGUCUUCAAGAAUCUUGGUCUUGUUCUUGGAUUUGUCGUUGGCUUUGGCUAGUGAAGAAGCCAUAUAUGGUCUUACGUGGGAAAGUAUUCGUCGGUGUAGUGUAGUGUAGUAGUGAUCGGAUCCAUAUGUUUUGAGUUUUAUUUAUACAUAGUAAAGUGUUAUUGAAUCUUUCG